rnacentral:tRNA from 1 species
CCGACCUUAGCUCAGUUGGUAGAGCGGAGGACUGUAGUUGGAGUAAUAAUCUGAGCUGAUAUCCUUAGGUCGCUGGUUCGAAUCCGGCAGGUCGGA